GAUGAACGCUGGCGGCGUGCCUAAUACAUGCAAGUCGAGCGAACGGACGAGAAGCUUGCUUCUCUGAUGUUAGCGGCGGACGGGUGAGUAAAACGUGGAUAACCUACCUAUAAGACUGGGAUAACUUCGGGAAACCGGAGCUAAUACCGGAUAAUAUUUUGAACCGCAUGGUUCAAAAGUGAAAGACGGUCUUGCUGUCACUUAUAGAUGGAUCCGCGCUGCAUUAGCUAGUUGGUAAGGUAACGGCUGACCAAGGCAACGAUGCAUAGCCGACCUGAGAGGGUGAUCGGCCACACUGGAACUGAGACACGGUCCAGACUCCUACGGGAGGCAGCAGUAGGGAAUCUUCCGCAAUGGGCGAAAGCCUGACGGAGCAACGCCGCGUGAGUGAUGAAGGUCUUCGGAUCGUAAAACUCUGUUAUUAGGGAAGAACAUAUGUGUAAGUAACUGUGCACAUCUUGACGGUACCUAAUCAGAAAGCCACGGCUAACUACGUG
rnacentral:rRNA from 1 species